ACAGCCUUCCAAGAAGAGUGGAAGCCGUUAUAGCUGUAAAUGGGGGACCAACUACAUUUUAAUGUCUAUGUAUUCAGAAUGUGAUAUCAUAAAGGUCCCUGUUGGUGUAAUGGUCAGAUCAAACAAAUGUAUCAUUUUGCUCUUUUUAACUAUAGUCCAUACUGCUUACAUAGAUCUGAUGUAUAAGCUCUGCUAUAAGUUUUAUAUUACCAUUUGUGCAACGCUGUGGAGUAUGAAGGUGCUUUAUAAAUCUAAUAAUAACUAAUAAUAAGCAAUGUUUUAUAUAAGCUCAUAUUAUUGUAGUAUUCUUUCUGAUUACACUGUUCAUACAUAACACAAGCCAUAUCUGACAAUAGUGACUAUGAUCAUGUGUUCACUGCAUUUUACAUGCCAAAUAAAAGUAUAUUUGUGCAA